GCAAGGCGAUUUAGCCUGCAUUAAUGCCAACUUUUAGCGCACGGCUCUCUCCCAAGAGCCAUUUCCCUGGACCGAAUACAGGAAUCGUAUUCGGUCUCUUUUU
rnacentral:sRNA from 2 species